AUGUCCGAGUGGUUAAGGAGACAGACUAGAACUUGACUCUUGAUCAUCUGUUACGCUUUGCGUGCGCAGGUUCAAAUCCUGCUG